CCUACGGGAGGCAGCAGUAGGGAAUCUUCCACAAUGGGCGAAAGCCUGAUGGAGCAACGCCGCGUGGGUGAAGAAGGUCUUCGGAUCGUAAAACCCUGUCGUUAGAGAAGAAAGUGCGUGAGAGUAACUGUUCACGUUUCGACGGUAUCUAACCAGAAAGCGACGGCUAACUACGUGCCAGCAGCCGCGGUAAGACGUAGGUGGCAAGCGUUAUCCGGAUUGAUUGGGCGUAAAGGGAAUGCAGGCGGUCUUGCAAGUCUGAUGUGAAAGGCUUCGGCUUAACCGGAGUAGUGCAUUGGAAACUGGGAGACUGGAGUGCAGAAGAGGAGAGUGGAACUCCAAGUGUAGCGGUGAAAUGCGUAGAUAUAAGGAAGAACACCAGUGGCGAAGGCGGCUCUCUGGUCUGUAACUGACGCUGAGGUUCGAAAGCGUGGGUAGCAAACAGGAUUAGAUACCCUGGUAGUC
rnacentral:rRNA from 1 species